rnacentral:ncRNA from 1 species
CAACUCUGGAGAGUUCCCAAUUUGGGACGCCGAAGGUGUAAGGUAUGCGGCAAGAAAAGCAUACCGAUCUCUCAGGCAAAAGGACAGAGCGUAA